rnacentral:tRNA from 2 species
GCGGGUGUAGCUCAAAGGUGGAGCAGCAGCCUUCCAAGCUGACGGCGCGGGUUCAAAUCCCGCCAUCCGCUCCA